rnacentral:rRNA from 1 species
AGACCCGAAACCCGGUGAUCUAGCCAUGGGCAGGUUGAAGGUUGGGUAACACUAACUGGAGGACCGAACCGACUAAUGUUGAAAAAUUAGCGGAUGACCUGUGGCUGGGGGUGAAAGGCCAAUCAAACCGGGAGAUAGCUGGUUCUCCCCGAAAGCUAUUUAGGUAGCGCCUCGUGAAUUCAUCUCCGGGGGUAGAGCACUGUUUCGGCUAGGGGGUCAUCCCGACUUACCAACCCGAUGCAAACUGCGAAUACCGGAGAAUGUUAUCACGGGAGACACACGGCGGGUGCUAACGUCCGUCGUGAAGAGGGAAACAACCCAGACCGCCAGCUAAGGUCCCAAAGUCAUGGUUAAGUGGGAAACGAUGUGGGAAGGCCCAGACAGCCAGGAUGUUGGCUUAGAAGCAGCCAUCAUUUAAAGAAAGCGUAAUAGCUCACUGGUCGAGUCGGCCUGCGCGGAAGAUGUAACGGGGCUAAACCAUGCACCGAAGCUGCGGCAGCGACGCUUAUGCGUUGUUGGGUAGG